CCCCCAUUGAGUGGUGGGGGCAUAUAGAUUUGCUCUUGUCAGUCCGUCUGUCCUUCCGAGAAUGUUGUGUCGCGCCUAGCUCCAAAACUAUUUGACAUAGAGUCACAAACUUUACAGGAAUGUUGGUCGGCAUGUUUAGUUGUGCACCUGGAAUUUCUUGUCCGGAUUCAUUCAGUGGUGUAGGAGUUAUGGCCCCUGACUUUGUAAAAAUGUGUAGUUGUGCACUUGGGGUUUCGCGUCCGGAUUCAUUCAGUCUUGUAGGAGUUAUGGCCCCUGACUUAGUAAAACAUUGGUCAUUCUAAUGUUUUGUCACGUGUUGCUCUAAAAGUAUUUGACCUAGAGUCACCAAAGUUUACAGGAAUGUUGGUCAGCAUGUGCAGUUGUGCACAUUGCGUUUUGUGUCCGGAUUUAUUCAGUAUUGUAGGAGUUAUGGCCCCUGACCUAGGAAAAAAUUGUCAUUUUAAUGUUUUGUCACGCGUAGCUCCAACAGUAUUUGACGUAGAGUCACAAAGAGUCACCAAAGUUUACAGGAAUUUUGGUCAGCAUGUGCAGUUGUGCACCUGGAGUUUUGCGUCCGGAUUCAUUCAGUCGUGUAGGAGUUAUGGUCCCUGACUUAGUAAAAAAUUGGUUAUUUUAAUGUUGUGUUAUGCGUAGCUCAAAAAGUAUUUGACCUAGAGUCACCAAAGUUUACAGGAAUGUUGGUCAGCAUGUGCAGUUGUGCACAUUGCGUUUUGUGUCCGGAUUUAUUCAGUAUUGUAGGAGUUAUGGCCCCUGACCUAGGAAAAAAUUGUCAUUUUAAUGUUUUGUCACGCGUAGCUCCAACAGUAUUUGACGUAGAGUCACAAAACUUUACAGGAUUGUUGUAUCUUAAAAGUUGUUAAACCCGAGUCAUUAAACCAUGUUACAGUGUCAGGAGUUGGGGGCACCUGUGUCCUAUGGACACACAUCUAGUUCCUUCACAUGUUUUGUAAAUAAUUCUUUCAUGAUUUUGGUCUCCUUUCAAGGUUUUAGGUCCAACACCUCAAGAAUCUUUUUAUGUAUUUCAUCUUAAGAUUGUUUGUCAAGAGAAGUCUUUCUGUGCUUUUCAUAAUAUAUAACAUUUCUUUUUUAUGAACUAUGCCAUCAGCAACAAAUGCUUGAUAGUAAGCUUUCUGCAUUGAAAUUUUCCAGUUCACCGCAAAAUUUAAUUUUACCAUUUAAACUUGUGUGUUCAUUUUUUUUGCUUGGGAUAUAGCAAAUAUUGUCUACUCCUUAACACUUCUCUUAUCGCAUUAUUUCUUGGUAAUAUACUUUCGGUUGCUGACUGUACUUCACAAUUUCAGUACAACCAGAUGCUGUCUGCAGAAACUUCUUUUUAACCUUCAGAAAAAAAUUAAAUAACAUAUUACACACCUUUUCUUGGCAAUGGCUAGUCAAAACAUGUGUGGGGCGGAGGUGGAGCUCAGGGUGGUUGCAGAGAGUGGGAAAUCAUCUUCUCUAUCUCUGUCACCAGUAGCCUUCAGACAUGUGAAGCUGCAGACAGGCGAGAGCAGCUUCGCAUGUCAAACAAGAACAGUUGUAUCAUCCCCUCCACCCCAGACACACACCAAAGAAGAGAAAGGUGAUCAACAACAUGCCAGGGAAGAGACCUGCAGAGAAGGCUAUUAAGCCAGUGACAGCUGUCGACAACAAAUGCUCAGUUUGCUCCAUUAUAUUUAAUUCUAAAGUGGACAAACUUUUCAGGAAAAGCUGCCCAUAUCCAGUAACCUUCUACAGAGGAUUUUACAGUGUCUUACAAAUGGUACUAGCAACUCAUCAACUGCUGCAAGUUUAAUAUAGCAGAUUGACAUCAGUGGAGGUAACUAAAGUCGCGGAUCAGGACUAUGGCAUAACCUGCCAACAACAAAAAAAA